UGUAGUACUUUCAAAUGUUAUGAGCCAAAUAGCUUAUUAAUUAGAGAAUUUAAAAAAAAAUGAAGGUGCUUUCUGUAUUCCUAAUUUCUCUCUGUGCUUUCCACAUAUUGUUCUCUACUACUCUUAUGGUUUCAGAAGCAAGACCCUUGCCACUUAACUUAGAGAAAUGGAGCAAUUGGUUAAUGGAAAUAAAGAUAGAGCCUGUGGUGGGAAAAUUGUUGCGUCCAUCACCAUCUCGUUCACCUCCUUCCCCAAAUCCUAACCCACCAAAAGGACCAGGAGGAGUUUCAUCAUUAUCUCAUAACACUGCCUCAGCUUAAUUAAUUAUUAAGCAAUAUUAUCAUGAAUAUUCAUAAUUAAGUGCUUAUGUAUUAUUUUUCUUUUAUAACUAGUCAAAGGUUUCAUCAGUAAUAAAAAAAAAAGGAUAAUUUAUUAGUUGUUUUUAAUUAUAAUUAAGUAUGUAAUUCUAGCUUAGCUAGCUAGGAUUUUAAGAUGCAGGUACUUAGUUAAUGUGUUUAGAUUAACGUUUAUAAAUAAAUGUUAGUAUGAAUGUAUUUUUGUAAAAUUAAUUUUGAUUAAAAUUAGAUUAAUGUACUUAAUUAGUUGGUUGGUUAUAUUGUA